rnacentral:lncRNA from 1 species
GAUGUAUUUCACAAUAAAUAAUGAGAAUUUUAUGUAAAGUUCCAAUUAGAAAGAAGGUAGAUUUAGGCCUUCUAAAUAAACUUAAGGUUUCAAGAACCACUUGAAGAAAUCUGUAAAGAGGAGGAUAUCAAGAGCAGGAGGAUAUCUGAGCUAUACACAGUUGUAGCCCAGAUGAAGUAGUACAGGCCCCAAGAAAAAGAAUG